rnacentral:rRNA from 1 species
UACGCUGGCGGCGCGCCUAAUACAUGCAAGUCGAACGAUGUAGCAAUACAUAGUGGCGCACGGGAGAGUAACACGUGGAUAAUCUCCCCUCGAGAGAAGAAUAACUAGUCGAAAGAUUAGCUAAUACUUCGUAAGACCACAGAAACGAAUGUUUCAGGGGUAAAAGUCGUAAGACGCUUGAGGAUGAGUCUGCGUCCCAUUAGCUAGUUGGUGAGGUAACGGCUCACCAAGGCGACGAUGGGUAGCUGGUCUGAGAGGAUGAUCAGCCUCACUGGAACUGACACACGGUCCAGACUCCUACGGGAGGCAGCAGUAGGGAAUAUUGCACAAUGGAGGAAACUCUGAUGCAGCGACGCCGCGUGAGUGAUGAAGGACUUCGGUUUGUAAAGCUCUGUUGUCAGGGAAUAAAAAAAUGAAUGUACCUGACGAGAAAGGACCGGCUAACUUCGUG